rnacentral:lncRNA from 1 species
GAAAAAUUUCUUUGUAAAUUUUUUUUAUACUAAAAUAUAUAACACUAUAAAAAUCAUUUUUAAAAAAAGCCAAAACAAACGGGCCCUAUAACAUAUACAAGUUAUCCAUUUCAAAUCUACACCAAGCUCUCUAAAUUUCACCCCUUCGACCGCAAAUUCGACCUGCUGAAAUGAAACGCAAUGCAACUGGCAUACCUACGUAAGACGGCAGAACGCAAUCAUUAAACCUGAACUGCCACACCAGAAUAAUCAAGCAGCAGGCCCUGAAAAACAUGAAAAAAAUCACUUGUAAGUAAUGAUUAACAGAACAUCAUACCAAGGCCACUCACACCAGGCUAAGUGCACUGAUCAACUCAUUUUGGUGGUCUCAAUCAAUUAAUCAGUUACGUGUGAAAAUAUUACUAAUUAAGAAAGAAUCACGUCAGAUAGAUUUAACGGAAUUAGAAUUAACCGACACGUUCUAAUGUAACAGAAUUUAAUUAAAGUUACACGAUAAACCAAUGGAGAUACAAUGCGAAGAAUCAAAACCAUCAUAAGCAUAUAAUAGAUUCAUUCGUAAUGACACCAAGUUCGAUAGCAGGUUCGACUUGAUUAACAAUCAACUAAUUACUUCUAUAACCGUCUCUAGUUAGAUUAACUAAGUUUUUUUCUUCUUUCUCUAAAUCAUUCAACAAAAUGUAAAACAAAAUUAGAAACUAGUUUCAAUUUAAACCAACCUAACUCUACUAACAUUCACCGACUUAUAACCGAAAUUUUAAUAGAAAUCAUAUUUCUCAUAACUCGGGCUAACAACCCACAUCACACCCAUAGCAGUAACAGAAAUUAGAAAAAUAAUUCCAUCAAUAAUUCAUUUAGUUUUCAGUUUGAGUUUUAAAAUGGGCAUUUUUUUCACUAUUUAAGUUUCAUUUUAAAUUCAACUAAUUAAUCAUGUUUGAAUUUCAAUCCCAACUCCAUAUCAUUCACUGACCAAUUCUCAACUAACUAACAUCAAUUAACAACUAAAACUAACCUAUAACAAACUCUAACUAACUAACUAAUUCCUGAUUUCAAGGUAAUUUCGAGUGAAUCCUCACUCCACUUCAAACUGGAUUUCUAACCGACUCUCACCAACUUAACAAGAUCGACUCAUCUUUAACAGAGAGUUUCUAACCGAAAUUCCGGGCACCUACCCUAAUGAAACUAACAUGCCCUAAUCAGUUGCAGACUCAUCACUAUAUAUUGAUGACCUUCUCCAAUCAUUGGAGUUUCAGAAUCACCAAUCUCCAAUUCUCACACUAUCGCAUUGCAGAACCGCAUCUCCACCUUCUCCCUCACCAAAGCUCUUCCAGUAAGACGCCAUUGAAGCUUCACGUGGAAGCUUCAAUCGGCGGAGCUUAGACCACACGCCAAGUUCUCUCAACAGCGCAUCGGAACCGCCAACCGAAGCGGCCAAACGCAAGGAACACAACACAAAGAGAAGAAGCACGGAGGAGAAGAAGCGGAAGGAGGAAGGAAACACUUACAUGAAGAGGAAGGAGAGGGGCGUCGCAAGAGUACCUGAGGAUCUUCAUACAGGUUCGGCACAUUCGUCCACAGUUCCGAAUUCAACAAUCACCGAGGAAAUUCUCCUCCUCGCAGGUAGGAAAUCGUACUUGAUUCACGUUUUUCUUGUUACCAAUUUAUAGCCUGACGUGAACGGAAGCCAAGCCCUCGCACCUGGGGUUCUAAUUCCAACUGGUCGAUGCUUAAUUUCUGAAAUAGGCAAUUAAGGUUUUGAGCCGUUUGUGUUGAUUAAGGAUUUCGUGUAGAUGAACAUAAGAUGGAGAUGUUGUUGUUUGAUAGUGUAUGGUUGAAAUUUCGCCGCCGGAGGCGACUCCGGCACGGUGUAGGAAUGUUUUUCGGGUCGAAGUACAUGCAUAUGGAUUAAGCCUUCCGAUUUUGUUUGUGGGAUGAAACGCGUAUAGCACGGACCUCUUCUCCCUGUGAGUUGGUAUUGGGCUCGAGAUUACCCUUGGCUGUGUUAAUUAGCCCCUAAUAUGAAUAUUAGAUUUAGAUCUUUAGCAUAUUAGGACUUUAGAGCAAUUAUGC